AUCAAAGGGGCAUCUUCACUUCCGCGGGCCGGGGCCGCCGCUCGUCCCUCCGCCGGCCUUGGAGGGCGUUAUGGGGCGCCCCUUCCGCGGGCAGCGGAUGGCAGCCCAGCGCCUUUGCGGGCACCGCCUGGACAGCUUGCGCGGAGGUCUUUCUUUUAGUCCUCUGGGAAUAAUGUGAUGCUAGACAUGCUGGACUGAGAAAGGAAAAAGCAAAACACAAAAGCAAAAAAAAAAACCCCAUUUGGGUCAAUGAAGGAGCAUCAGGCCGCAGCGACGGGGGAGGGGAGCGACUUAAGCAAAGUCCGCUGCCUCAAAAAUGCACGUUGGUCUGUGGGAGGUGCAGGACGGCCGCUCCGAGGCAGGAGUUUCCUAUACAACCUGUGCAGACACAUCCCUCGUGGCCCUGGUCUUGCUGAGCAACUGUCGGGUCUCCUGGUGGCCCGCGGGGAAGCAGUGCCACAGACUUCUACGCCUCCCGGUUUCCCCUGUGGGAACGACGGUCUCCAUGGCAGUUAUGGCUGCCCCACGACUGUCCAUGGGGGACAGAAAACUUGCCUCUGUUGCACACAGCUCUUCCAGUCCGUGUUAACCAGCUGCACUUGAGAAACUACACCCAACGAGCCUCGUUCACCCUGGAACUUGAUUGACGUGACAAAAUCUUGGGCUUGAGGCCCGAACCCUGGAUGCCGUAAUAAGCAAGGCUUUGAUGGGUCUGGAGAGGGAGGAAGUGUAUUUUGCAUAGAGCUAGUGGCUGGAAUAAUCUGCAGACGCACCCGCGUGUUGAGGUUGAGAAGACAGACCAGUUGGGGGACAGUCCCUGUGGGGCCAGUCUGUCUCUCUGUGGCCUCCUUACAUAGGUGUGUUUAGCACAGAAUCUUCAGGAAGGACCAAGCUUUCGGAGCCAACCACACAUCCCAUCCAGCUCCACAUUGUGAUGUCACCUUGGAGCCUGAAACGAGCCAUGGUGGGAACGACGGACGCCAUGAAAACCGGCCAACACUACAAAGCGGGACUGUUUUCCUCAGGGAGAGCCGAUGGCUAAACAUUUGCCAGCACAUCCCUGCCUAAGCUCCAGCUGGGGAAGAGGCAGCCUUCUGCGAUGCUGGAAGUCACAGAGUGAGUCCCGAGUGGUGAGCAGGGCAGAAGGCCCUUCUGCCAAUUUCCCUGUGGGCUGGAAAUGAAAAAACCACCACCCAUGGAGUCUAGCUCAUCUUCCUUCUCAUCUCGAGGCCACAGGCGCUCAGCAUCACCUGCCUUCAGGGGACUUCCCAGUCCCUGUGGAGUGGGAAGCCGCUCUGGACACGAGCAGAGGUGAGAUUCAGAGGUAAGAGAAAGGGACAUCGGGGGGACUGGUACCACUCAUGCCCCACGUCUGGCCAGGGCAACCAGGUGAGAUCCCAGGGUGAGUGCUUGGUUCUUUGGGUAGAUCACUGGCCAGACAGGCUGCCUCUGUUUCUGCUCCACAGUGAGCAAGGCUGCAAGCAGGCCGAAGGGUCAGAUUUCACCAUCCGGCACAUUAUGGGGCUACGAGACCACUUGACAUAAACACACAUUUCAAGGCCUUAGACUUCUGGAUUUCACUGACUCUUUACUUUCUCUGCCUUCUUGGAGUCCUGCCGCAUGUCUAAAAGAGCAGUUAAGAGGUCUACACAUCCACUUAAAGAUAAUUAAGUUAUGAGACGUGCAGCUUAGUGAUGCCAAAAGCAUGACAACCAAACCAACAAUUAACAGAACUAAAAGGCAACCAACAGAAUGGGAGAAGAUAUUUGCCAAUUAUAUAUCGGAUACAAGGUUAGUAUCUGAGAUCUACAAGAACUUCUCAAACUCAACACCCAUAAAACAAGUAUUCCAGUGAGAAAUGGGCAAAAGAUGUGAACACUUUUCGAAAGACAUCCAGAUGGCUAACAGACACACGAAGAGAUG